rnacentral:rRNA from 1 species
GAUGAACGCUGGCGGCGUGCCUAAUACAUGCAAGUCGAGCGAACAGAUAAGGAGCUUGCUCCUCUGACGUUAGCGGCGGGCGGGUGAGUAACACGUAGAUAACCUACCUAUAAGACUGGGAUAACUUCGGGAAACCAGAGCUAAUACCAGAUCAUAUAUUGAACCGCAUGGAUCAAUAGUGAGUGACGGCUUUGCUGUCACUUAUAGAUGGAUCCGCGCCGGAUUAGCUAGUUGGUAAGGUAACGGCUUACCAAGGCAACGAUGCGUAGCCGACCUGAGAGGGUGAUCGGCCACACUGGAACUGAGACACGGUCCAGACUCCUACGGGAGGCAGCAGUAGGGAAUCUUGCGCAAUGGGCGAAAGCUUGACGGAGCAACGCCGCGUGAGUGAUGAAGGUCUUCGGAUCGUAAAACUCUGUUAUUAGGGAAGAACAAAUGUGUAAGUAACUAUGCACGUCUUGACGGUACCUAAUCAGAAAGCCACGGCUAACUACGUG